GAUGAACGCUAGCGGCAGGCUUAACACAUGCAAGUCGAGGGCAGCAUAAACAUUGCUUGCAAUGUUGAUGGCGACCGGCGCACGGGUGCGUAACGCGUAUGUAACCUACCUCAAACAGGGGCAUAACACUGAGAAAUUGGUACUAAUUCCCCAUAACACUCAUUAAGGCAUCUUUUGAGUUGAAAGUUUCCGGCGGUUUGAGAUGGACAUGCGUUGUAUUAGCUAGUUGGUGAGGUAACGGCUCACCAAGGCGACGAUACAUAGGGGGACUGAGAGGUUAACCCCCCACAUUGGUACCUGGAGACACGGACCAAACUCCUACGGGAGGCAGGCAGUGAGGAAUAUU
rnacentral:rRNA from 1 species